rnacentral:rRNA from 1 species
GACGUAGGGCGCGAGCGUUGUCCGGAUUUAUUGGGCGUAAAGAGCUCGUAGGCGGCUCGUCGCGUCGUCCGUGAAACCCGGGGCUUAACCCCGGGCCUGCAGUGGAUACGGGCUGGCUGGAGGCAGGCAGGGGAGAACGGAAUUCCUGGUGUAGCGGUGAAAUGCGUAGAUAUCAGGAGGAACACCGGUGGUGUAGACGGCUUACUGGACCAUGACUGACGCUGAGGCACGAAAGCGUGGGGAGCAAACAGG